AACGAACGCUGGCGGCGCGCCUAACACAUGCAAGUCGAACGAGAAUCCGGGGCAACCCGGUAGUAAAGUGGCAAACGGGUGAGGAAUACAUGGGUAACCUACCCUUGAGAAGGGAAUAACCCGCCGAAAGGUGAGCUAAUACCCUAUACGCUAUCAUUUUUUCGAAAAUGAUAGGAAAGCUAGGCCGAGGGCUUGGUACUCAAGGAUGGGCUCAUGUCCUAUCAGCUUGUUGGUGGGUAACGGCCUACCAAGGCUACGACGGGUAGCUGGUCUGAGAGGAUGAUCAGCCACACUGGCACUGAGAUACGGGCCAGACUCCUACGGGUGGCAG
rnacentral:rRNA from 1 species